UACGAAGGGUGCAAGCGUUAAUCGGAAUUACUGGGCGUAAAGGGUGCGUAGGCGGUUCGUUAAGUCUGUCGUGAAAUCCCCGGGCUCAACCUGGGAAUGGCGAUGGAUACUGGCGAGCUAGAGUGUGUCAGAGGAUGGUGGAAUUCCCGGUGUAGCGGUGAAAUGCGUAGAGAUCGGGAAGAACAUCAGUGGCGAAGGCGGCCUGCUGGGCUGUUGCUGACGCUGAGGCGCGACAGCGUGGGUAGCAAACAGG
rnacentral:rRNA from 1 species